GUGGGAAGACCUGUUGCUGUUAGCUGCUCAUACACAGGCCGGCUUGCAGUGGCUUACAAACAGCCCAUCCACCACAAUGGUUUUAUUUCUAAAGAGUUCUCUAUGCAUGUCUGUAUAUUUGAAUGUGAAUCUACAGGAGGGUCAGAAUGGGUUUUAGAACAGACGAUCCAUCUUGAUGAUUUAGUUAAGGUGGGGAGUGUACUUGAUUCAAGGGUUAGUGUUGACAGUAAUCUGUUUGUAUAUAGCAAAUCAGAU
rnacentral:lncRNA from 1 species